AUAUAAUAAGCAUAAAUAUGCAUUUAGUUUCGACCUAAAAGAAGAUAAUAAAAUUAUCAUUAUUUA
rnacentral:tRNA from 1 species